rnacentral:rRNA from 1 species
AUGCAAGUCGAGCGGGGAAAGGUAGCUUGCUAUCUGACCUAGCGGCGGACGGGUGAGUAAUGCUUAGGAAUCUGCCUAUUAGUGGGGGACAACAUUCCGAAAGGAAUGCUAAUACCGCAUACGCCCUACGGGGGAAAGCAGGGGAUCUUCGGACCUUGCGCUAAUAGAUGAGCCUAAGUCAGAUUAGCUAGUUGGUGGGGUAAAGGCCUACCAAGGCGACGAUCUGUAGCGGGUCUGAGAGGAUGAUCCGCCACACUGGGACUGAGACACGGCCCAGACUCCUACGGGAGGCAGCAGUGGGGAAUAUUGGACAAUGGGCGAAAGCCUGAUCCAGCCAUGCCGCGUGUGUGAAGAAGGCCUUUUGGUUGUAAAGCACUUUAAGCGAGGAGGAGGCUACCGAGAUUAAUACUCUUGGAUAGCGGACGUUACUCGCAGAAUAAGCACCGGCUAACUCUGUGCCAGCAGCCGCGGUAAUACAGAGGGUGCGAGCGUUAAUCGGAUUUACUGGGCGUAAAGCGUGCGUAGGCGGCUUUUUAAGUCGGAUGUGAAAUCCCUGAGCUUAACUUAGGAAUUGCAUUCGAUACUGGGAAGCUAGAGUAUGGGAGAGGAUGGUAGAAUUCCAGGUGUAGCGGUGAAAUGCGUAGAGAUCUGGAGGAAUACCGAUGGCGAAGGCAGCCAUCUGGCCUAAUACUGACGCUGAGGUACGAAAGCAUGGGGAGCAAACAGGAUUAGAUACCCUGGUAGUCCAUGCCGUAAACGAUGUCUACU